AGUGAACGUUGGCGGCAUGGAUUAGGCAUGCAAGUCGAGCGAGAAGUGUAGCAAUACACGGAAAGCGGCGGAAGGGAGAGUAAUACGUGGGAAUCUGCCCUUAGACCUGGGAUAGCAGCGGGAAACUGCUGGUAAUACCAGAUAAUGUCUAUGGACCAAAGGUGUGAUUCCGUCUAGGGAUGAGCCCACGUCCUAUUAGCUAGUUGGCAGGGUAAUGGCCUACCGAGGCGAUGAUGGGUAGCGGGUGUGAGAGCAUGACCCGCCUCACUGGGACUGAGACACUGCCCAGACACCUACGGGUGGCUGCAGUCGAGAAUCUUCGGCAAUGGGCGCAAGCCUGACCGAGCGAUGCCGCGUGCGGGAUGAAGGCCUUCGGGUUGUAAACCGCUGUCGAGGGGGAGCAACUUCCAUAGAGUUAUCUUUAUGGAUUGAGUGAUCCCUGGAGGAAGGACGGGCUAAGUUCGUGCCAGCCGCCGCUGUAAUAC
rnacentral:rRNA from 1 species